rnacentral:rRNA from 1 species
GAUGAACGCUGGCGGCGUGCCUAAUACAUGCAAGUCGAGCGAACAGAUGAGGAGCUUGCUCCUCUGACGUUAGCGGCGGACGGGUGAGUAACACGUGGAUAACCUACCUAUAAGACUGGGAUAACUUCGGGAAACCGGCGCUAACACCGGAUAAUAUAUUGAACCGCAUGGUUCAAUAGUGAAAGACGGUUUUGCUGUCACUUAUAGAUGGAUCCGCGCCGCAUUAGCUAGUUGGUAAGGUAACGGCUUACCAAGGCAACGAUGCGUAGCCGACCUGAGUGGGGGAUCGGCCACACUGGAGCGGGAACACGGACCAGGCUCCUACGGGACGCAGCAGUAGGGUAUCGGACGCAAUGGGCGAGAGCCUGACGGAGCGACGCCACGUGAGUGAUGGCAGUGUUCGGAGCGUAAAACUCUGUUAUGAGGGGAGAACAAAUGUGUAAGUAACUGUGCACGGCUUGACGGUACCGGAUCAAGAAGCCACGGCUAACUACGUG